GAGGCUUUGGAGCCUGCCUGGGCCGCAGCCCUCUGUGGCGGCCUUUUCCUCUCUGUCCCCUCCUUUCUUUUCAGGAACGUCCACAUAAUGCUCCCUCCCUCAGCCAAAUGUGACCUUCUCAACACUACCACGGCCUGGAGACAUUUCCUGCGGCCUGCACUCAGCGACUAGGCUUGGCCUCACCUUGUCGGGGCCUGAAACUACGGCGUCUCGUUGGGCCCAUUCUGCGUUCAAAUGUUUUGCCUUGCUCAUACGGCCCCAAAGAUUUCCACCUCAAUGUCCACCAUGCCAUGUACGAUUAUAACUUAAUUCUUAAACAUUAUUAUAAAAGAAUCCAAUGGAAAAGUGUAAUGAUGCAGAAAAGAAUUAUCCAUCCUGAAAAUAUUAUGUCAAUGCAGAGAAAAGCAGGAAAUCGCUGAGGUCCUACACUCCACUCUGCCUGAGCCUCAAGUGAAUAAAUGCAGAGAUUGUGCACACGGGAUCCAAACACUCGUAAAAAAGAUUCAUGGUGAUAUUCUGAGAAAAAAUUAAUAAAACCUAAGAGAACUUGUCA